UGGAGUAUGUGGUUUAAUUCGAUGCAACGCGAAGAACCUUACCUGGUCUUGACAUCCCGGAGACCCUUAGGAAACUAGGGGGUGCUUCCAUCUGGAAGAAUCUGGAGACAGGUGCUGCAUGGCUGUCGUCAGCUCGUGUCGUGAGAUGUUGGGUUAAGUCCCGCAACGAGCGCAACCCUUGCCUUUAGUUGCCAGCAGUUCGGCUGGGCACUCUAAAGGGACUGCCGGUGUUAAACCGGAGGAAGGUGGGGGAUGACGUCAAGUCCUCAUGGCCUUUAUGACCAGGGCUACACACGUACUACAAUGGCCGAUACAAAGGGCAGCGACACUGCGAGGUGAAGCCAAUCCCGUAAAAUCGGUCUCAGUCCGGAUUGGAGUCUGCAACUCGACUCCAUGAAGUUGGAAUCGCUAGUAAUCGUGGAUCAGCAUGCCACGGUGAAUACGUUCCCGGGCCUU
rnacentral:rRNA from 1 species